CCUAUCACUUUCGAUGGUAGGAUAGAGGCCUACCAUGGUUUCACGGGUAACGGGGAAUAAGGGUUCGAUUCCG
rnacentral:ncRNA from 1 species